GAGACAGAGUCACCAUGAACUGCUUGGCCAGUGAGAGGAUCACAGAUAGUGAUGGUGAUGACCUCUUACACUGGUACCAGCAGAAGCCUGGCCAAGCCCCCAGGCUCCUCAUCUACUGGGCCACCAGGCUGGAGUCUGGAGUACCUGCCCGGUUCAGUGGCAGUAGAUCAGGGACAGAUUUCACUCUCACCAUCAGUAGUGUGGAAGCUGAGGAUGCUGCAGUCUAUUACUGUCAGCAAGGUCUUAAGGUUCCUCCCACAGUGAUAUAUUCUCGAACAAAAACCUUCCCAGGCUCAGGCCUGGUGAUCAAGGAGGCUACAGUGCCCCAGAUACUUCUCCUUCCCCAGAACCUGCU